UGGGUAACCUGCCUCAAAGAGGGGAAUAGCCUUCCGAAAGGGAGAUUAAUACCGCAUAAUAUGUUUUAAUCGCAUGAUUUUAACAUCAAAGGAUUUUCUUCGGAACUUCCACUUUGAGAUGGACCCGCGGCGCAUUAGCUAGUUGGUGAGGUAACGGCUCACCAAGGCAACGAUGCGUAGCCGACCUGAGAGGGCGAUCGGCCACAUUGGAACUGAGACACGGUCCAGACUCCGUAGGAGG
rnacentral:rRNA from 1 species